UACGUAGGGACCGAGCGUUGUCCGGAUUCAUUGGGCGUAAAGAGCUCGUAGGCGGCUGCUCAAGUCGAAUGUGAAAACUCGAGGCUCAACCUCGAGCCUGCAUUCGAUACUGGGCGGCUAGAGUCUGGUAGGGGGAUCUGGAAUUCCUGGUGUAGCGGUGGAAUGCGCAGAUAUCAGGAGGAACACCGGUGGCGAAGGCGGCUUCCUGGACCGACACUGACGCUG
rnacentral:rRNA from 1 species